UGGGGAAUAUUGGACAAUGGGCGCAAGCCUGAUCCAGCCAUGCCGCGUGAGUGACGAAGGUCUUCGGAUUGUAAAGCUCUUUUUGGCGGGGACGAUAAUGACGGUACCCGCAGAAUAAGCCCCGGCUAACUUCGUGCCAGCAGCCGCGGUAAUACGAAGGGGGCUAGCGUUGUUCGGAAUUACUGGGCGUAAAGCGCACGUAGGCGGAUCUAUAAGUCAGGGGUGAAAUCCCGGGGCUCAACCUCGGAACUGCCUUUGAUACUGUAGAUCUCGAGUCCGGAAGAGGUGAGUGGAAUUCCUAGUGUAGAGGUGAAAUUCGUAGAUAUUAGGAAGAACACCAGUGGCGAAGGCGGCUCACUGGUCCGGUACUGACGCUGAGGUGCGAAAGCGUGGGGAGCAAACAGGAUUAGAUACCCAGUAGUCCCUGAGCGGGCUGGCAAGGCGCAU
rnacentral:rRNA from 1 species